CAGGGUAUAGCUAAGUUAGCAAAGCAUAUCCCUUACACCGAUAAGUCAUCUGUGCGAACCAGAUUACCCUGA
rnacentral:tRNA from 1 species